AUGGUACUACUCCAAGACAACCUAUUUUUCAUUUGUCAUGAUGCUUCCGGAGACAUCCGCCUCUUCUUAUUUUUUCUGUGCGUAGCUACUAUGACCACACUCCUGUACCUCAUGAGCCGUUCGCGCACAGUAUACAUUGUUGAUUAUGCGUGUUUCCGGCCUGACUCGAACUACCGCACCAGCAAGGCCGCAUGGAUUGAGAACAUUCACCAUUCUUGGUCCUACGACGACAGCGGCCAUCUGCGCUUCUUGACCCCCCGUGCUGAAGCGGAGUUGUCCAUCUUGACAACCAUAGAUGAGCUGCUCCUGAAGACGUCAAUCGAUCUUGAUGCAAUCGCCAUACUCAUCGUGAACUGCAGCCUCUUCAACCCAACUCCGUCCCUCGCGGACAUGAUCAUGAGACGAUAUAAGCAUCGAGAUCAUAUCUACAACGUGCAACUCUCUGGUAUGGGUUGCAGCGCAGGGCUAAUCGCAGUGGGUCUUGCCAAGGACCUCCUGCAGAACGCUCCUUCUAACGCGCAUGCGCUGGUCGUGUCCACGGAGAUCUUGACUGGGGCCUACUACACCGGGGGGAAGCGUGAAAUGCAGCUGACCGACAUGUUGUUCCGCAUGGGUGGCUCCGCGGUGCUCCUCUCAACGUCGAGUACCAGAGCUUGUUUUGAGCUGGCGCACGUAAUUCGGAAGAGCACCAGCUCCGAAGACGGUGCAUACCGAUGUGUAUUUUAUGAGGAAGAUAUGACAAGGGAGUUCUUGGUCUCAAUCUAUCCAAGGGCCUUGUGA
rnacentral:rRNA from 1 species